rnacentral:snRNA from 1 species
CAUUUUACCUAGUUGGGGAAAUACCAUGAUCUCAAGUUGGUUUUCCUGAGUGAUAUUCAUCCAUUUGACUGGAGAUUUGCUGAAUUCUGUGGUUUUUCCCAAAUUCAGAAAACUCAACUGCAUUAUUUGUAAUAAUGGGGGACUGUGUUAAAGCUCUCCCCUG